UACGGGGGGGGCAAGCGUUGUUCGGAAUUACUGGGCGUAAAGGGCUCGUAGGCGGCCAACUAAGUCAGACGUGAAAUCCCUCGGCUUAACCGGGGGAACUGCGUCUGAUACUGGAUGGCUUGAGGUUGGGAGAGGGAUGCGGAAUUCCAGGUGUAGCGGUGAAAUGCGUAGAUAUCUGGAGGAACACCGGUGGCGAAGGCGGCAUCCUGGACCAAUUCUGACGCUGAGGAGCGAAAAGCAUGGGGAGCGAACAGG
rnacentral:rRNA from 1 species